AUCAAAUCUCUGCUUGCAAACACAGACCAGAUCCCAAGCUUAAUCCAGUCCUGGCCAAUGUAAAACACCCUCUCCCCACAAACGGCAUGUGCAAUUAGUGCAGACUGAUGGGAUUUAAAAAAAAAAAAAAAGGAUUCUCUUUUUUCAGAGCUGCAAGAGCAGAGUGCACAAGGUUCACAUUUGACGAAGGCUGCUUUUUCAGAUUUGUGGCUAGACUGGGGUGGAAAUUAGGACCUGGCCCCUUCUUCCCUGGCAUUGGGCAGUUUUGUCCUCCAUAGACACUAGAGGGUGUAAAUGAGGGCAGAACUCCUGAGUCCUAACAGGCUUCAUGAUAAAUAACUGUAUAGUGUAGCUAAAAUGUAGUGCCAAAUGCCAUUGUCUGAUUUCCUAUCCUUCCUUCCCCUUCCACCUGUAAAUUCAUUUCUCUCUCAAAAUGUACAAACCACCCCCUCCACCAACAGUCAGAACUCCAGCAAACCACUGAACAGUUUAUAAUUUUGUGGUGUAUUUUUUGUCAGUAGGUAGCAGAGACUGAAGUAUUUUUUGGUGUAAUUCUUGAACUUUUCUGACGGGAUUAAAAUAAAGCUAGAUGUGACUGAG